rnacentral:ncRNA from 1 species
CUUCGAGCGUGAAUUAAGAUGCGCUCAUUAAAUUGGGUGAAUUGCUGGAAAGCUAAACUAAUAAUAAUUAGCAUGCUAAUCAGCAGCCAAGUCUAGGAAUAGCUAAAUGUACUAGAAAGGUUCAGAGACUAGAGAAGUGAGUAGCUAAGCAAUAAUCUUCUCCACGAGUGCCCAACAUACUAAAAUGAUAAAAUUUAUUUAGUAUGAUGAUAUAGUCCAAACUGAGAUAGAAAAGACUAUCUGA